UGGGGAAUAUUGCACAAUGGGGGAAACCCUGAUGCAGCGACGCCGCGUGGGCGAGGAAGUACCUCGGUAUGUAAAGCCCUAUCAGCAGGGAAGAAACAGGACAGUACCUGACUAAGAAGCCCCGGCUAACUACGUGCCAGCAGCCGCGGUAAUACGUAGGGGGCAAGCGUUAUCCGGAUUCACUGGGCGUAAAGGGAGCGCAGGCGGCAUGGCAAGUCUGAUGUGAAAACCCGGGGCCCAACCCCGGGAGUGCAUUGGAAACUGCCAGGCUGGAGUGUCGGAGGGGUAAGCGGAAUUCCUAGUGUAGCGGUGAAAUGCGUAGAUAUUAGGAGGAACACCAGUGGCGAAGGCGGCUUACUGGACGACUACUGACGCUGAGGCUCGAAAGCGUGGGGAGCAAACA
rnacentral:rRNA from 1 species